GACACAUUAACUUCGACGACACAAUCGAUCAAUACGAUCGAUCCUUUAUUAUUUAUAUAUAUAAACAAACAAACAAACAAGCACACACGGACCACAUCCAAAAUGAUUCGAAGUGUUUAGUUUCGAAUGUACACAUAGACAUUUACCAUUUAUUUUGUGACCAACGGGCAUCAGAGAAGUCAGGAAGACAAGUAUGACUUACCACUGACAUCCUACGGCAGAAGAUACCCCUAUUGACAGUGUCUUAACAUGAAGAAACAAUCUGUGAGUAGGAACAGCUGGCUGCUGGCUGGAGUGGUGCGGACUAGGAGCAGGUACUGGGAUGGAGGAACGGGCUUCUCAUCGUAUUCGGUUCCAAAACUGGACUUUUACCUAUUAUACUUAAUUGUUUAAUGGGGAAUACUGUACUAAUUCCCCUUUUUCUAUAUUAAUAUAUAUCUUAUGGCAAAUAUGUUUCAUGAAAACCAGUCACUGCGCCUUAUUCUUAAUAUAUAUCAUACAUAAAUGGACCAUCGGAGUCCUUUAGUUAGUGUGCUACCACACCCUGUAAAUAUAGAUAAAAUAUUGAGUAUGACUAUAUGUAUAUAUUAAAUAAGAAAUAUGAUAUAAUGAAAUGUGUUCAUAUUAUAAUAAAUUAAUUGUAAGUUUUAAUAAAAGUUUCUAAAAAAGUAAUAAAAAGAUCAUUACAACAGGAAAGACAAAAAUACACGUAUUCGAC